CUUUCCUCGCAGGGUUUGGUUUCUAGUCCCCACAUAGAAUACCUCUGAAAAAUGGGGUGUGUUGGGAAUUCUGCUUAGAUUUUUGAAAUGCUCACAUACAUGCUUUACUCAAUGAGGACAUGUGCCCAUUAAUGUGCCCAUCUGAAAAAUGCAUACAAAAAUUAGGUACGGUUUCGUAUUUUUUUUCCCCCUCUAAUAAACAUUGGGUAGGCAACCAUCACAGAUAAGUCUUUCUCAGAAACGGACUUCAGAGAUGGGCCAGCAUAAAACCCACAGCAUUCUUUCUCAAGCACAUGACAGACUUGCCAAAUGUUCUUGAGGCCAUUAAGUAUUCUACAUCCUCAGUGGUGAUAAGGAUGUAAUAAUCAACCCAAUGGAGUCCCAGGUGGCAGUGUUCAAUCCACCCACUUUGUUUUUCCCAUUGCUCAAUAUAGGGAGUCCAUAAUUUCUUUAACGGGGGCACUUCACUCCUGGAAGAAAUAACCUAAAGAUGAACAAGGUUCUGGUGAUAGCAAUCUUAGCCCUGGUCUACCUGGAUGCAGCUGGAUCUCUCAAGUGCAACUAUUGUCGAAAUGUUCGACCUGGUAACGUUUGCAAACACGUUGAAAAAACAUGCCAAGCAGGAAAAAGGAAAUUUUGCUACAGUCGGAUGACUGUUAAAGGAGGCCAUAUAAAACGUGUGGAGCGUGGCUGUAGCCGUGUAUGUAUCAGCACAAAGUACCGGAAUGUGCAUAGAAUGGCAAAGUAUAUGCUGUGCUGUGAUGAAGACUACUGCAACAACCAUAAGUUAUGGAAUGAGGAAAACUCUGGGAAAUUAGGUGGACGUCCCUAGCCUCUUUCUAGCAAUGUAAAGAAUAAUUGCAAAAUUCUUUGUUCUCAUUGAUGGAGACUGUCCCAAGAGACAGCUUGACAGAGUAUUUCCAAACCCCACAGGAUGGCACUUCUUGCCUCUAGGAGAGAGUGAAACAAGGAAUGUGUUUUUUUUCCUCAUCCAAAUAUCCAUAAUUUGCACCAGUUCUGCAAAGUAGUGUCCUUUCUCCUUUGAGAAGCAACGUGCACACCAUGCCCACACAUAUACAAACCUACACGCACUCACACACACAGAGUGAGAGGAGGGAGGGAGUGCACAGGAUGAUGGGUGAAUGUUUUCAAAGAAGAACACAACCCCUUCAGAUCUUCUGUCAUUUGAUUGCAUUACAGCAUUGUAUGCAUUAUGUGUUAAGAGUUAUUUGCACAAUUCUUAAUAAUGUGCGCAAAAAGAGUCCUUUCUGUCUUCACUCUCUUCUUGCCAGUGCCAUAAAAUAGCCCCAUCCCCUUGCAGUAUGGGGAUAAUUAUUUUGUGGUUCUUCAUUAGAGAUGGCCACGUGACCACAGAAACGGUCUACGGACAAACACUGGCUCUAUGGCUUGGAGACGGGGAUGAGCACUGCCCCCUAGAGUCGGACACAACUGGACUAAAUGUCAAGGGGAACCUUUACCUUUAACUUUACCAUUAAAGAUGGGCAUGAACUGAACUAUGAAACAUAAAAACCCACAAAUUGGUCUGGGUCGUGGUUCAGUUUGCCAUUUGUGGUUCAAUUUGGGCAUCCUGGUUUUGCCGAAAUGAAACAAACUGCCGAACUUCCCCCCGUGCUUUGUUUUGUUUGGCAAAAGGGGAUACGUGCCCGACUCUCCCCCUCCUGCUGCCUCAUCCUCUCCCUACCCUGGCUUCAAAGUGCUGCCACUGCCUCUUCCUCCACUAUGCCCU
rnacentral:lncRNA from 1 species